rnacentral:rRNA from 1 species
UACGGGGGGGGCAAGCGUUGUUCGGAAUUACUGGGCGUAAAGGGCGCGUAGGUGGCCAACUAAGUCAGACGUGAAAUCCCUCGGCUUAACCGGGGAACUGCGUCUGAUACUGGAUGGCUUGAGUUUGGGAGAGGGACGCGGAAUUCCAGGUGUAGCGGUGAAAUGCGUAGAUAUCUGGAGGAACACCGGUGGCGAAGGCGGCGUCCUGGACCAAUACUGACACUGAAACGUGAAAGCCAGGGGAGCAAACGGG